CCUACGGGUGGCAGCAGUGAGGAAUAUUGGUCAAUGGGCGCGAGCCUGAACCAGCCAAGUAGCGUGAAGGAUGACGGCCCUAUGGGUUGUAAACUUCUUUUAUAUGGGAAUAAAGUGCAGUAUGUAUACUGCUUUGCAUGUACCUUAUGAAUAAGGAUCGGCUAACUCCGUGCCAGCAGCCGCGGUAAUACGGAGGAUCCGAGCGUUAUCCGGAGUUAUGGGGUUUAAAGGGAGCGUAGGCGGGUUUUUAAGUCAGUUGUGACAGUUUGCGGCUCAACCGUAAAAUUGCAGUUGAUACUUGCAUCCUUGAGUACAGUAGAGGUAGGCGGACUUCGUGGUGUAGCGGUGCACUGCUUAGAUAUCACGAAGCACUCCGAUUGCGACGGCAGCCUGCUGGACUGUAACUGACGCUGAUGCUC
rnacentral:rRNA from 1 species